GGAGAAUGGCGCUAGGACCCCGCGGGCUGCUGCGACGCGUGGGGCGGCGCGUGUUGACAGCGGCGGCGGCAGAGCCAGCGGGCGGCGGGAGUCGGCGCAUCGGGUUCCUGCGCUGGGAGCCGAGGCGGCGUCCGACGGCGUCCGGGGAUGGCCUUUAUGGAGAAGCCGCCGGCCGGCAAGGUGCUGCUGGACGACACGGUGCCGCUGACAGCCGCCAUCGAGGCGAGCCAGACCCUGCAGUCCCACACGGAGUAUAUCAUUCGGGUGCAAAGAGGAAUUUCAGUAGAAAACAGCUGGCAGAUUGUGAGAAGAUACAGUGACUUUGACUUGCUAAACAACAGCUUGCAGAUUUCAGGCCUCAGUCUACCUCUUCCUCCCAAGAAACUGAUUGGUAACAUGGAUCGUGAAUUCAUAGCUGAAAGGCAGAAAGGUCUUCAGAACUAUCUCAACGUUAUCACCACCAAUCACAUCUUAUCUAAUUGCGAACUGGUUAAAAAGUUUUUAGAUCCGAAUGGCUAUUCUUCAAACUACACUGAGAUUGCCUUACAGCAUGUUUCCAUGUUCUUUCGAUCUGAGCCUAAAUGGGAGGUGGUAGAACCAUUGAAAGACAUAGGUUGGAGAAUAAGAAAGAAAUAUUUCUUGAUGAAGAUUAAAAAUCAGCCAAAGGAACGGCUAGUGUUAAAUUGGGCUGACCUUGGCCCUGACAAGUAUCUAUCAGAUAAAGAUUUUCAGUGUUUAAUAAAACUUUUGCCUUCCUGUUUGCACCCUUAUAUCUACCGAGUUACCUUUGCCACGGCUAAUGAGUCUUCAGCAUUAUUAAUUAGGAUGUUUAAUGAAAAAGGAACUUUGAAGGACCUUAUCUACAAGGCAAAACCGAAAGACCCGUUCCUGAAAAAGUACUGCAACCCUAAGAAGAUCCAAGGCCUUGGACUUCAGCAGAUAAAGACAUAUGGGCGGCAAAUAUUAGAGGUACUAAAGUUUCUUCAUGAUAAAGGUUUCCCUUACGGGCACCUUCACGCCUCCAAUGUGAUGCUAGAUGGGGACACUUGCCGGCUACUGGACCUUGAAAAUUCCUUACUCGGCCUCCCUUCUUUCUACCGGUCUUAUUUCACACAGUUCAGGAAAAUCAAUACAUUAGAAAGUGUGGACGUCCACUGCUUUGGCCACUUACUGUAUGAAAUGACUUACGGACGACCACCAGACUCAGUGCCUGUGGACACCUUCCCUCCUGCACCAUCCAUGGCUGUGGUGGCCGUGUUGGAGUCUACGCUGUCUUGUGAAGCCUGUAAAAAUGGCAUGCCUACCGUCUCCCGGCUCUUACAGAUGCCAUUAUUCAGUGAUGUUUUACUAACCACUUCUGAAAAGCCACAGUUUAAGAUUCCUACAAAGUUAAAAGAGGCGUUGAGAACUGCCAAAGAAUGUAUAGAAAAGAGAUUAAUUGAAGAACAGAAACAGAUUCACCAGCAUCGAAGGCUGACGCGAGCACAGUCUCACCAUGGGUCUGAGGAAGAAAGAAAAAAGAGAAAGAUUUUAGCACGAAAGAAGUCAAAACGAUCUGCCAUCGAAUAUAAUGAAGAAUAUUCAGCAAAAUACAGCAACUCUAAUAAUUCAGCAGGAUCUGGGGCCAGCUCACCACUCACAUCCCCUUCAUCGCCGACUCCACCCUCUACAACAGUAGAGCAUGCACCAUUUUGAACGUGACUUUUCGGUAAAGUAAGCUAUACUGAUUUCUCUGACUUUAAAGAUGCUCUAUUUCUAUAUGUGAAAAGGGCCCCAGUGUGCCUAGACCACUGAAGUGUGAUGAACCAGUGGGGCAGCAGAUUCCAGAAUCUGAACAUGUCAAUGAAAUAUAGCAUCUUUAAAAAGCACACACAUUACUUCAUUUAUAUCCAUUUCAUUUCCAGCAUGACCUUCAGAAUCUUCAUGUUCACACUUUGAUUUUCAUUGUAAAAUACAGCUCUAAAACCUGAUCAUCAACUGUGUGGUAUUUUGGGUUAUUUUUAUGAUCUCAUUUAUUUAUUUAUUUAUAAUUUAUUCAUUUAUAAAAAGGAAACACUGACAAAACCAUAGGAUGAGAGGAGUAUAGCUCCACACAAUUCCCACCACCAGAAGUCCGUAUUUCAUCCCCUCCCUUGAUAGCUUUCUUAUUCUUUAACCCUCUGGGAAUAUGGACCCAAGGUCAUUGUGGGAUACAGAAGGUGGAAGGUCUGGUUUCUAUAAUUGCUUCCCUGCUGAACAUGGGUGUUGACAGGUCAAUCCAUACUCCCAGUCUGCCUCUCUCUUUCCCUAGUGGGGUGGGGUUCUGAGGAAUUGGAGCUCCAGGACACAUUGGUAGGGUUGUCUGUCUGGGGAAGUCUGGUUGGCAUCAUGCUAGCAUCUGGAACCUGGUGGUUGAAAAAAAAGUUAACAUAUAAAGCCAAACAAGGGCUGUGGAGACAGCAUAGUGGUUUUGCAAAACUCUCCUGCCUGAGGCUCGGAAGUCUUAGGUUCAAUCCCCCACAUCACCACCAUCAGCCAGAGCUAGACAGUGCUCUGGUAAAAAUAAAUAAAUAAACAAACAUAAAGCCAAACAAGUUGUUGACUUUAUGAAUCUAAAGGCUGGAGUAGUGCAGAUGAAGAGUUGGGGGGGCUGGUCUCAGGGGGAAAAAAAACUAUAGUCAUUUAUUUUUUAACAAGAGCACUGCUUUGCAGUGGUGAGCUGGUGGUGCAGAGGGUUGAAGAUGGAUUUUGGAACCUCAGACAUGAAAAUCUUUUUGUUUUUAAGAUUUUUUAUUUUGGCAGAGAAAAAUUGAGAGUAAAGGAGGGGGAGACAGCGAGCUGCAGCACUGCUUCACCACUUGUGAAGCUUCCCCCCUGCAGCUGGGGACCCGGAGGUUGAACCUGGGUGAUUGCACACUAUAAUGUAUCUAUUCAACCUGGUGUGCCACCACCCAUCCCAGGCAUGAAAGUCUUUCUGUAUAACUAGUAUGCUGUCUGCCCCCCACUCAUUCUGGUGAGCCAUGUGUCCCUGGGUCUCUGUCUACCGCCGCGAAGCUAGUCUGGCAUACUGACGCCCCAAACUUUGACAACACUGGUGUGUCUUCAUAUUGGAAACUAGACUCUCAGAGUUUUGUUGCUGUAAAAACAAAGUAGUUUCUGUGGUGAUGAAGAGAAAAGAGUGUCAGGCAGUUGGAUUCUUGGCUAGAGGGAGACAGUAUACUGGCUUUUAUAAUUUUGUGAUAGUAAAAAAAAAAAAAGGUUUUUGUUUGGUUUUAACACCUAUCAUUCUUGAACUUUGAGGCAUGAAUGCAGCCUCUUCAUUCGAGGCAAAAGGUGAAGACAGUUUCUUUUAACUUAUUUAUGUAUUUGUUUAUUUAUUAGUGAGCAGGAGGGCUCAGGGAGAGAGAACCAGAGCAUCACUCUGUUAUCCACAAUGCCCUGGAAUUAAACUUGGGACCUCAUGCUUCAGAGUCCAGUGCUUUAUCCACUGCACCACCUUCCCAAGCUGUAUAGUUUCCAAGAGCUGGGCUACCUGUCCCCAGGCACUACUCUCUCCAUUCCCUACUCUAGGGUAGCUAGGGGGCUCUGUUGUCACAUGGUCUCCUUGCCUGUGUGUGGACAGCUUGCCUGGUGCUCAAGGUGGCUCCAGGAAAGAGAACUGUCCGGUGUCCUUUCUUUGAGAGGCUUUCCUCCCUGGACGUCACCUGUAUUCUUGUCACAAGUCAGUGGCCUACUGCCAGGCUCCAUUUGGUGUGGAGGAUGGGGUCCUGGGGUAGGUGGAGUAGUUAGCUCUCAGGUCACAGUCUAAGAGAAAGUGAGAUUGGAGAGCUCAGGACUGACCUAACUGUAAUUACAGAAAAGCAGUUUGGGAGCAGCACUCCUGGGUUGUUGCAAGCCAGUAGUUUUCAUUUAUUUAGUUAUUAUUUAUUUUUAAACUCUUUUCUAAGAAUUUAUUCAUGAGAAAGGAGAGAGAGAAAGAGCCAGACACCACUCUGGUACAUGUGCUGCCAGGGACUGAACUCAGAACCUCGUGGUUGAGAAUCCAAUGCUCUAUCCACUACACCACCUCCCAGACCACCAAGCCAGUAGUUUUCAAAGCUGGGUGAGUUCAGUUAGCAGUCACUCUCAAAUAGGAUCUGUCCGGUCUUGUAUGGGCAUCUCAGCUUGCUGAGUGUCAGGGCUUAUGUUUGCCUCGUGGGGGAAAGAAAUCUAUCCAAAAUGAAUAAAUAUAGGGGGGAGAGAGGAGAAAGAGGAGAGAUUUAUUAGAACUAAGGACCUCAUGGUUAAGAGUUGAAGAGUGGAAGAACUCACAAACACUUAUAGGAAACUAGUUCAUAGAAAAGACAAAAAGGAAAAGCACAAUUAUCAGAUGGGGCCUGUAGUGACAUUUGUGAGUCCAGGUCCUGACUCCCAGGCCCCCUUGUCCCUUCUAGUUUGCCAUGCUGUUGACGUUUGCCCUCCUUUGCCCUGACCACAGAUAUCAACAUCUGACCUCAUUGUCACACAUGGGGGAGAGUGAGCCUCCUGGCUCAUGGUUCCUUUGGGAUCAUUGCAGCCUCUGUGAAUGGGGUGACUCUCCUUCCCACAUCCCCCAGCAGCCUGCCCAGCUGUGUGCAGGCACAGAUUACCCAGGACCCCCCUGGACACAACUUUCUUCUACUAUCCACACAGUUACAUUGAACAUGGUUGCCCUUCAGUCUUGCCUUGGAAAAUAAAUAUGCCAUUUCCAGGUCCAGACUCUGACAGCAAGCUGGCAUUUUUCACCUCAGUGCCAGCUGAUGUGUUCAGAGGCCAGGAUAGUGUAGUUUUACUCUGAGACAGCAGACUGUACUCAAAGCUCAUCUCUAGCUUCUCAGAAUCUCUGCUCAUGGGGUAGCCAGGACCUAGUUGGGUGGCUCGAGGCCUCUGUUAGAAUGUGAGUCCCCUUUCAGCCUGUCCUUUCAGCUCCUGCUGGAUGGGGUCCAAGCACAUAUCUGGGAGGCAGAAACACUAGAGCCUGCACUGGUACACACUAGGCCUGGAAUCUCAAGUUCAGAUCCUGCUGCCUUUCUCUGGCCUUUGGGUGGGAGUGCAGAGUGGUGGGAAGUGUGGGGGUAGAAAGUACUGGCACCCACUCAUCUGGUCUUUGUGUUGUGGUAGCUGAGUUCCCAGAGCCUCCAGAAGCAGCCCUGUCCUCAUAUUCCAUGGGCCCUCAUCAGAUACCCACCCCCUCCAGAGACACGCUUGUACUACACACUUAUUCUCCUCGCUCUUCUCCCCACCAGUCAUUUCAGGUUUAAAAUUCCUUUUUUUCUAAAUCUUUGUGACCAUGUCUUAUAAAACCAGGAACAUUCUCCCACAAUUCACUGUGGUGUAGACCAUAAUAUUCAUUCCUUUUUUUUUUUUAUCGUGUAGAACCAGUGAACAUUUCACUCUAGUCAUCUGUCUAUAUUUAAUAUGUAUUCACUACACUGUUAAAAGAGCAUGAAUGUAUAUAUCUAUGUGAUUCUUUAAUUUCAGCUGCCUUGGGUUUGGGUAAAAGAGGUAAAGGGAGG